rnacentral:rRNA from 1 species
GGAAUAUUGCACAAUGGGGGAAACCCUGAUGCAGCAACGCCGCGUGAGUGAAGAAGUCAUUCGUGAUGUAAAGCUCUAUCAGCAGGGAAGAAAAUGACGGUACCUGACUAAGAAGCCCCGGCUAACUACGUGCCAGCAGCCGCGGUAAUACGUAUGGUGCAAGCGUUAUCCGGAUUUACUGGGUGUAAAGGGAGCGUAGGCGGUCUGCCAAGUCUGAUGUGAAGACCCGGGGCUCAACCCCGGGAGUGCAUUGGAAACUGGCGGACUGGAGUGUCGGAGAGGUAAGCGGAAUUCCUAGUGUAGCGGUGAAAUGCGUAGAUAUUAGGAGGAACACCAGUGGCGAAGGCGGCUUACUGGACGAUAACUGACGCUGAGGCUCGAAAGCGUGGGGAGCAAACA